AACCGCCGUAUACGAGAGUACGUACGGUGGUGUGAGAGGGCGAGGGAGUAAUCCCUCUACCUACUCGAU
rnacentral:misc_RNA from 1 species